rnacentral:rRNA from 1 species
GAUGAACGCUAGCUACAGGCUUAACACAUGCAAGUCGCGGGGCAGCAUGGGGGUUGCUUGCAAUCCCCGAUGGCGACCGGCGCACGGGUGAGUAACGCGUAUCCAACCUGCCCUUCACCACGGGAUAACCCGGCGAAAGUCGGACUAAUACCGUAUGUUGUCCAUUGACGGCAUCCGAUUUGGACGAAAGGUUUGGCGGGGAAGGAUGGGGAUGCGUCCGAUUAGCUGGACGGCGGGGUGACGGCCCACCGGGGCGACGAUCGGUAGGGGUUCUGAGAGGAAGGUCCCCCACACUGGAACUGAGACACGGUCCAGACUCCUACGGGAGGCAGCAGUGAGGAAUAUUGGUCAAUGGGCGUAAGCCUGAACCAGCCAAGUAGCGUGCAGGAUGACGGCCCUAUGGGUUGUAAACUGCUUUUAUGCGGGGAUAAAGUGGCCCACGUGUGGGUUUUUGCAGGUACCGCAUGAAUAAGGACCGGCUAAUUCCGUG